rnacentral:rRNA from 1 species
GAUGAACGCUGGCGGCGUGCCUAAUACAUGCAAGUCGAGCGAACAGAUAAGGAGCUUGCCCCUUUGACGUUAGCGGCGGACGGGUGAGUAACACGUGGGUAACCUACCUAUAAGACUGGGAUAACUUCGGGAAACCGGAGCUAAUACCGGAUAACAUUUGGAACCGCAUGGUUCUAAAGUGAAAGAUGGUUUUGCUAUCACUUAUAGAUGGACCCGCGCCGUAUUAGCUAGUUGGUAAGGUAACGGCUUACCAAGGCGACGAUACGUAGCCGACCUGAGAGGGUGAUCGGCCACACUGGAACUGAGACACGGUCCAGACUCCUACGGGAGGCAGCAGUAGGGAAUCUUCCGCAAUGGGCGAAAGCCUGACGGAGCAACGCCGCGUGAGUGAUGAAGGGUUUCGGCUCGUAAAACUCUGUUAUUAGGGAAGAACAAACGUGUAAGUAACUGUGCACGUCUUGACGGUACCUAAUCAGAAAGCCACGGCUAACUACGUG